rnacentral:misc_RNA from 1 species
GGGAGAUGUUUUCAUGGGUCGCUACCAUACAGUGUUUGACUAUGAGAAAAUGAGAGUUGGCUUUGCGGAAGCAGCUUAAGCGCCUCAACAUCUCUGUGUUGUGACCCGAUUAGUAUCACGUUGUCAUUUAAACUAGAAAAUUGUCUGCACUUGUAAAUAAAUAACUGAUGCUUGAAUCUUUUUGCUGGAUUUUUUAACAGCUGUUGUGUUAUGACAGUAAUUUGCCCGUCUAUCGUAAUUUCUGGUUAAUUUGUAAUACUAAUUACGCAACGUUUUGGUUUGUGCUAGAAGAAAAUUACUCAUCAAUAUCUACAUCGUUUAAGUACUUUUUGAAGAUUUAGAUGAAAAUAGAUUCAGUGUAUUGUUGUA